GCCGAAGUAGCUCAGUGGUAGAGCAGCUGAUUCGUAAUCAGCAGGUCGAGGGUUCAAUCCCCUCCUUCGGCUCCA
rnacentral:tRNA from 1 species